UACAGAGGUCCCAAGCGUUGUUCGGAUUCACUGGGCGUAAAGGGUGCGUAGGUGGUCAGGUAAGUCGGAUGUGAAAUCUCGGAGCUCAACUCCGAAAUGGCAUUGGAAACUACCUGGCUCGAGGAAUGGAGGGGGGACUGGAAUUCUCGGUGUAGCAGUGAAAUGCGUAGAUAUCGAGAGGAAGACCAGUGGCGAAGGCGGGUCUCUGGACAGUUCCUGACGCUGAGGCACGAAGGUCAGGGGAGCAAACGGG
rnacentral:rRNA from 1 species